AUGGGUGAUGAAAAAAUCAUGGCUUGUGUAUCUACAGUCUCAUUCUCAGUGAUAGUAAAUGGGGAUAUAACAGAGGAGUUCAAACCCUCUAAGGGGAGCAGGCAGGGAGAUCCUAUCUCCCCAUAUUUAUUCUUAUUGGCAGCAGAGGGUUUAUCUUGUCUGUUGAAAUCAAAGAGUACCGAUGAGGAUGUGAAGGGAGUGGUGAUAGCCCCAACAGCGCCCCUAGUUAACCACCUAUUAUUCGCUGAUGAUAGUUUGCUCAUGUUUAAGGCAAAUUCAGGGGGUGCCCAGAUUAUUAGAGACACCAUUCAUCAAUACUGUGUGGCAUCCGGGCAGAGAAUCAAUCUCACAAAAUCUAGCAUAUUCUUUCGAAAGGGAUGCCGAGAGGAAACAAGGAAUGUAGUGAAAGGCAUUCUGGAGGUCACCAAUGAGUCACUCUCGGAGAAAUACCUGGGCUUACCUACUGAGGUGGGCAGAUCAACAAAUGGGACUUUCAAGUACAUAAAGGACAGGCUAUUGGGGAAGAUUCAAGGCUGGAUUGAGAGGUGUCUUGCAGCAGCAGGUAAAUAA
rnacentral:rRNA from 1 species